rnacentral:rRNA from 1 species
CCUACGGGCGGCAGCAGUGGGGGAUAUUGGGCAAUGGGCGCAAGCCUGAUCCAGCAACGCCGCGUGAAUGAAGAAGGCUUUCGGGUUGUAAAGCUCUGUCCUGAGGGACGAAGGAAGUGACGGUACCUCAGGAAGAAGCCACGGCUAACUACGUGCCAGCAGCCGCGGUAAUACGUAGGUGGCAAGCGUUAUCCGGAUUUAUUGGGUGUAAAGGGCGUGUAGGCGGGAAAGCAAGUCUGAUGUGAAAACUCAGGGCUCAACCCUGGGACUGCAUUUGAAACUGUUUUUCUUGAGUGCUGGAGAGGUAAUCGGAAUUUCGUGUGUAGCGGUGAAAUGCGUAGAUAUUAGGAGGAACACCAGUGGCGAAGGCGGAUUACUGGACAGUAACUGACGCUGAGGCGCGAAAGCGUGGGGAGCAAACAGGAUUAGAUACCCCAGUAGUC